CAAGACAGGGUCUCUCUGUGUAGCCCUGGCUGGGCUGGGACUCACUCUGUAGACCAUGCUGGCCUCAAAUUCACAGAGAUUCUCUGCCUCCAGCUGCCAUGGUGAUUUUCAAGGUCCAGUCUCUGGACCUGCAUCUGAGGCAGCAACUGGGUGAUGGACAGGACCCUCAUAAGAAGGACGGAGUCUUACCCUGCUGAAUGAGAUGCCCUGGGCACCGGGACAGAAUGGUCCCCAGGACUGCACUUUUGGGAGGCGGUGAAAUCUUUGAGAGGUGGGGCCUGAUGGGAUGUGCUCUUAAAGGGACCGUGCUCUUUGUUUCCUCCUUGUUCUUCCUUGUUCCUCGCUAGUUUUGAGUCCACAGAUCUACCUGUUUUCCAUGGAAGUCAAGCUGUGCCUGCCUAGCUGGUACCUGUACCCUUGAUAUGUGUGCCUGAGGGUCAGACUGAACCAGUUCAGCACAUCCAUGCUGCUGACUCUCCAGCUCCAGCUCUCCUUCUGCCUUCAGGCUGUCUGCAGAGAUUCUCCAAAUGUGUGCACAGCCCACAUGCCUCCUCGGAGCCCCAAAGUCUCCCCUAUAAGCAGCUGCUCCAUUUCCCCAGACACGGGCUUGAGAAUGGGGCUCAGCAAACUGGCCAAGAGCGGCUUUACUGGGAUGCAUGCGUCUGUGACAGAGGCCAGGCAACAGCGGUGAGGCUGAUGACCAAUGGCAGAGACCUGGUGCCCUGCAGAGUCCAAGCUAUUUACCAUCUUGAAGAAGCAUGUGACCCCUAUCUGUGUACCGGGGCUAGGUUCAGCAGUAGAAUACCUGCCUAGCCUGUGUGAGACCUAGACUUGAGCCAAUGCACCCCAAUAAAAUAAAAUGGUCAAGUAAGGCAGCAUAAUAUUAAAAAACCAAAUUCCUGACCUGCCCCCCCUUUGUCCUAAACCUGCCUCUCUCACUGUCUUACUUCUCCAAGGUGCUUGAGUUGGAACAGAAUGUUUUGAAUUGUCCUCGAUGUGUAAACACCUGCCACAAUCACACUCAGUGCAACAACGGGGCUGUAUUUAUCAGAAAUGUAUUGUUGGGUGA